rnacentral:rRNA from 1 species
UACGUAGGGCGCAAGCGUUGUCCGGAAUUAUUGGGCGUAAAGGGCUCGUAGGCGGUUUGUCGCGUCUGCUGUGAAAACCUGAGGCUCAACCUCGGGCUUGCAGUGGGUACGGGCAGACUAGAGUGCGGUAGGGGUGACUGGAAUUCCUGGUGUAGCGGUGGAAUGCGCAGAUAUCAGGAGGAACACCGAUGGCGAAGGCAGGUCACUGGGCCGAUACUGACGCUGAGGAGCGAAAGCGUGGGGAGCGAACAGG